ensembl:lncRNA
GUCAAGGCUAUGGUUUUUCCAGUGGUCAUGUAUGGAUGGAAGAGCUGGACUGUGAAGAAAGUUGAGCGCCAAAGAAUUGACACUUUUGAACUGUGGUGUUGGAGAAGACUCUUGAGAGCCCCUUGGACUGCAAGGAGAUAAAACCAGUCCAUUCUAAAGGAGAUCAGUCCUGGGUGUUCUUUGGAAGGAAUGAUGCUAAAGCUGAAACUCCACUACUUUGGCCUCCUCAUGUGAAGAGUUGACUCAUUGGGAAAGACUGAUGCUGGGAGUGAUUGGGGGCAGGAGGAAAAGGGGACGUCAGAGGAUGAGAUGGCUGCAUAGCAUCUCUGACUCGAUGGACGUGAGUUUGAGUGAACUCCGCGAGAUUGUGAUGGACAGGGAGGGCUGGCGUGCUGCGAUUCAUGGGUUCACAAAGAGUUGGACACGACUGAGUGACUGAACUGAACUUAUGGUGGUGGUGGUAGUAGUGUCCAACUUUUGCAACCCCAUGGAUUGUAGCCCUCUAGGUUCCUCUGUCCUUGAGAUUUCCUGAGGAAGAAUACUUCAGUGUGUUGUCAUUUCAUUCUCCGGAGGAUUGACGAUUAGUUUAUCAGUUUGAUGUGCUCUGUGCAUUACAAUACCUCAGAAACCAAAGUUGUCCUAGUGUGAAAUAUUCUAUUUCUGAAGAUUUGGUUAAUUUAUCUUCUUUGAAUUAACAUGCCUCUUAAUGGGUUUAUUUGGAUGCCUUAAAUUUUAUAUUUGGGAAGUUUAGUUGUAUUAUACCCAGUGAAUUUCUUAUGAUUAAAAAAAAAAAAAGAUUCUUAAUUUGUCUCAGCUUUUUCUUUUCAAAAAUUCUUUGCCAAAGUUUUUACUGCAAAGUAUUAGAAUUUGAUCUCAAUGAUGUAUAAUGAUCGUUUUCUGACAUUAAACAGCUCAUUUCGAGCCUAAAUUCAGUGGGUAACCCACUAAGUUAAAAUAGAUGCUGAUAAAUAAACAAUUUUGGAUGAAGAAAAUAAAUCACAGCAGGAUCCUCUAUGAUCCACCUCCCAGAAUGCUGG